AGUUACCGGAGGUUUUGAAUCACUUGAUGUGGGGACUGGGAACUGAGCCUGGGUCUUCUGUAAGUGCUCUUAACUGCUGAGCC
rnacentral:miRNA from 14 species